rnacentral:rRNA from 1 species
AACGAACGCUGGCGGCAGGCUUAACACAUGCAAGUCGAGCGCCCCGCAAGGGGAGCGGCAGACGGGUGAGUAACGCGUGGGAACCUACCCUUUUCUACGGAAUAACGCAUGGAAACGUGUGCUAAUACCGUAUACGCCCUUAGGGGGAAAGUUUUAUCGGAGAAGGAUGGGCCCGCGUUGGACUAGCUAGUUGGUGGGGUAAAAGCCGACCAAGGCGACGAUCCAUAGCUGGUCUGAGAGGAUGAUCAGCCACAUUGGGACUGAGACACGGCCCAAACUCCUACGGGAGGCAGCAGUGGGGAAUAUUGGACAAUGGGCGCAAGCCUGAUCCAGCCAUGCCGCGUGAGUGAUGAAGGCCCUAGGGUUGUAAAGCUCUUUCACCGGAGAAGAUAAUGACGGUAUCCGGAGAAGAAGCCCCGGCUAACUUCGUGCCAGCCGCCGCGGUAAAAC